rnacentral:lncRNA from 1 species
CUGUUGCUCAGGGUCAGGUAGUUGGGAUCCGACCUAGACCACUCGUUCGGGAUUCUUCGCUAUCGGGAUGGAAACCAGCUGUUCGGUCGGUUCACCCCGUUCUUCCGCUCUCCGCUGGUUCAACUCGUCGGCCGUCAGGGAGUCCUUCGCUUCGUUACUUCGAGCAGAGAUUUGGAAGCAUCGUCGAGCGAGCUGUUGAUCCCCGC